rnacentral:rRNA from 1 species
AACGAACGCUGGCGGCAGGCCUAACACAUGCAAGUCGAGCGAAGCCUUCGGGCUUAGAGGCGGACGGGUGAGUAACGCGUGGGAACGUGCCCUUUGCUACGGAAUAGCCCCGGGAAACUGGGAGGAAUACGGGAUGUGACCUUCGGGGGAAAGAUUUAUCGGCAAAGGAUCGGCCCGCGUUGGAUUAGGUAGUUGGUGGGGUAAUGGCCUACCAAGCCGACGAUCCAUAGCUGGUUUGAGAGGAUGAUCAGCCACACUGGGACUGAGACACGGCCCAGACACCUACGGGAGGCAGCAGUGGGGAAUCUUAGACAAUGGGGGAAACCCUGAUCUAGCCAUGCCGCGUGAUCGAUGAAGGCCUUAGGGUUGUAAAGAUCUUUCAGUGGGGAAGAUAAUGACUGUACCCACAGAAGAAGCCCCGGCUAACUCCGUGCCAGCCGCCGCAGUAACAC